rnacentral:rRNA from 1 species
GCUAAGAAUAUUCCGCAAUGGACGAAAGUCUGACGGAGCGACGCCGCGUGGAUGAUGAAGGCCGAAAGGUUGUAAAGUCCUUUUGCUGGGGAAGAAUAAGCGUGGGAGGGAAUGCCCGCGUGAUGACAUGAACCGGCGAAUAAGCCCCGGCUAACUACGUGCCAGCAGCCGCGGUAACACGUAGGGGGCAAGCGUUGUUCGGAAUUACUGGGCGUAAAGGGCAUGUAGGCGGCCUUGUAAGCUUGGCGUGAAAGUCCACGGCUUAAGCGUGGGAUUGCGUUGAGAACUGCGAGGCUUGAGUGACGGAGAGGGAGCUAGAAUUCCUGGUGUAGGGGUGGAAUCUGUAGAGAUCAGGAAGAAUACCAAUGGCGAAGGCAAGCUCCUGGCCGAUGACUGACGCUGAGGUGCGAAAGUGUGGGGAUCAAACAGGAUUAGAUACCCGGGUAGUCC